rnacentral:rRNA from 1 species
GAUGAACGCUGGCGGCGUGCCUAAUACAUGCAAGUCGAGCGAACGGACGAGAAGCUUGCUUCUCUGAUGUUAGCGGCGGACGGGUGAGUAACACGUGGAUAACCUACCUAUAAGACUGGGAUAACUUCGGGAAUCCGGAGCUAAUACCGGAUAAUAUUUUGAACCGCAUGGUUCAAAAGUGAAAGACGGUCUUGCUGUCACUUAUAGAUGGAUCCGCGCUGCAUUAGCUAGUUGGUAAGGUAACGGCUUACCAAGGCAACGAUGCAUAGCCGACCUGAGAGGGUGAUCGGCCACACUGGAACUGAGACACGGUCCAGACUCCUACGGGAGGCAGCAGUAGGGAAUCUUCCGCAAUGGGCGAAAGCCUGACGGAGCAACGCCGCGUGAGUGAUGAAGGUCUUCGGAUCGUAAAACUCUGUUAUUAGGGAAGAACAUAUGUGUAAGUAACUGUGCACAUCUUGACGGUACCUAAUCAGAAAGCCACGGCUAACUACGUGCCAGCAGCCGCGGUAAUACGUAGGUGGCAAGCGUUAUCCGGAAUUAUUGGGCGUAAAGCGCGCGUAGGCGGUUUUUUAAGUCUGAUGUGAAAGCCCACGGCUCAACCGUGGAGGGUCAUUGGAAACUGGAAAACUUGAGUGCAGAAGAGGAAAGUGGAAUUCCAUGUGUAGCGGUGAAAUGCGCAGAGAUAUGGAGGAACACCAGUGGCGAAGGCGACUUUCUGGUCUGUAACUGACGCUGAUGUGCGAAAGCGUGGGGAUCAAACAGGAUUAGAUACCCUGGUAGUCCACGCCGUAAACGAUGAGUGCUAAGUGUUAGGGGGUUUCCGCCCCUUAGUGCUGCAGCUAACGCAUUAAGCACUCCGCCUGGGGAGUACGACCGCAAGGUUGAAACUCAAAGGAAUUGACGGGGACCCGCACAAGCGGUGGAGCAUGUGGUUUAAUUCGAAGCAACGCGAAGAACCUUACCAAAUCUUGACAUCCUUUGACAACUCUAGAGAUAGAGCCUUCCCCUUCGGGGGACAAAGUGACAGGUGGUGCAUGGUUGUCGUCAGCUCGUGUCGUGAGAUGUUGGGUUAAGUCCCGCAACGAGCGCAACCCUUAAGCUUAGUUGCCAUCAUUAAGUUGGGCACUCUAAGUUGACUGCCGGUGACAAACCGGAGGAAGGUGGGGAUGACGUCAAAUCAUCAUGCCCCUUAUGAUUUGGGCUACACACGUGCUACAAUGGACAAUACAAAGGGCAGCGAAACCGCGAGGUCAAGCAAAUCCCAUAAAGUUGUUCUCAGUUCGGAUUGUAGUCUGCAACUCGACUACAUGAAGCUGGAAUCGCUAGUAAUCGUAGAUCAGCAUGCUACGGUGAAUACGUUCCCGGGUCU